rfam:Schistosoma mattheei strain Denwood, Zambia genome assembly, scaffold: SMTD_scaffold0022915
AUCCAGACGACGAGUCCCAAACAGGACAAAACGUACGUCAAAAUGGAU